UUCUUCCUGGAGCAAAAGACAUGGAAUUUACCUUCUCUGAUGGCUUUUGAAGAACGCCACGCUAUUCUAAAAGGGUAACAACUGGAUUUAACCCAACAUCAAAGGGAACUAGAUUGAGAUUCAUCUCUGUCUCUAUUUCCAUUUAAUGAAAUGGGGGAGAAAUGUCUCUCUGACCUGGAGAAAACGAUGCGCCAUUCCGUCUGAAACCCCGUGGGGGAUUACGUGUGAAACGUUCAUCAUAACACUUAUUAUUCCGUUCAAGGAAACGCAAAGUUGGAAUAUUUCACCUUUUGGUUUGACUUUUUUUACUCCGAACACAAGACAAAAAGACAAAACGUUGCAGAUUUGAAACAAAGAAGCACUUCAGUCUACUCUGACAGGAAGGCAUCUUUGGGAGUUUCCUUUUUUGUCCUGGAUUGGAUUUUACAAGAGUUAGCAGUGGAUCAGUCGCUUAUACAACCCUGCUAGCCAUGUCUUCAUGGAAGAGAAGAAUUCUGCAUCAUAGACAACUGCUUUCCAUCCAAAGUUACCCCUAAGGACUCACACAUGCACACUAAACACAUGCUAGGGUGAAAUGAGCCACGCUUCUUGCACAUUUUGCUUCUUCAUCCUGGAGUUUGGUGUGUAUUCUUGGAUCUAACAGCCUAACCGUCCUUCAAUGUUUCCAGCACCUUCCUUUCCAUCCGCGUCUGUCCCGAGAUGCCCCGACGUACACAGCAAGAGGAGGCUUGACCCCAGACCCAGCGAGGUCUCUCGGCUGCCCAGGCAUAUUUAAGAUGUUGAACCCUUCCCGCGUGGCCCGAGCCCCAGAUCGGAUCAGUAGCACUGCGGCUCCCGGAGGCCCCAGAGAUGGAUCGUGGCUCGGCUCGCCCCUGCCCUCAGCGCUCCGCACCCCGGCCCGUGAGCAGCCUGUGAAGGAUGUCCCAGAGCGGAACUCCAGCCCGGGAACCCUCUGAGACCCCCAGUCAGAGAGAACAGGUCCGCAGCCACAUGAAGAUGGUGAUCAAGCAGCUGGAAGGAAUCCUCAAGGAGCUGAAAGAUGUGGCACAUGAACUGCGGGAGGUAAGAAUCGGGAAUCCUUUGGUUGCCUUUUACCUUUGAGGGAAAUUAAUAGGUUCUGUUUGGACUUUAGAUGACUGGUUUCUCCAGCAGGAGAUAAAUAAUGAAUGUUUU
rnacentral:lncRNA from 1 species